UACGUAGGGACCAAGCGUUGUUCGGAUUUACUGGGCGUAAAGGGCGCGUAGGCGGCAAUUCAAGUCAGUUGUGAAAUCUCCGAGCUUAACUCGGAACGGUCAACUGAUACUGCUUUGCUAGAGUACAGAAGGGGCAAUCGGAAUUCUUGGUGUAGCGGUGAAAUGCGUAGAUAUCAAGAGGAACACCUGAGGUGAAGACGGGUUGCUGGGCUGAUACUGACGCUGAGGCGCGAAAGCUAGGGGUAGCAAACGGG
rnacentral:rRNA from 1 species